rnacentral:rRNA from 1 species
UACAGAGGGUGCAAGCGUUAAUCGGAAUUACUGGGCGUAAAGCGCACGCAGGCGGUCCUGUAAGUCGGGUGUGAAAUCCCCGGGCUCAACCUGGGAACUGCAUUCGAGACUGCAUGGCUAGAGUACGGUAGAGGAGGGCGGAAUUCCCGGUGUAGCGGUGAAAUGCGUAGAGAUCGGGAGGAACAUCAGGGGCGAAGGCGGCCCGCUGGACCAGUACUGACGCUCAGGUGCGAAAGCGUGGGGAGCAAACAGG